AUGGAAACCAAGCCUUUCGUGGUUCAAAAACGCGGAAUCUCGUCUCAAUCAUCAUUUGUAAGGACUUUUCGGGGUAAGUUCUUUGGCUUGGACAGGACGUUUAGUUCAUGUUGCUAUUCCCGCAUCCAGGGGGAGUACGUUAGAUGGAAUAAUUUCUUAGAUGUAUUACCCUAUCCCCAGGGGUUGGGGACCCUUUUCACGGGUCAAUGGAAUCUUUAUGCCCAAAACCCUGAUUCGAGUAAUCAUUUAUUUGGUACCGCUCAAGGAGCGGGAACUACCAUUCUAACUCUUCUUGGGGGAUUCCAUCCACAAACACAAAGUUUGUGGCUGACCGAUAUGGCUCACCAUCAUUUAGCUAUUGCAUUUAUUUUUCUCAUUGCCGGUCACAUGUAUUGA
rnacentral:rRNA from 1 species